rnacentral:tRNA from 1 species
UGGCUUACUUGGUAGAGCAUGGCACUUGCAAUGCCAGGGUUGUGGGUUUGAUUCCCAC